GAUGAACGCUGGCGGCGUGCCUAAUACAUGCAAGUCGAGCGAACAGACGAGGAGCUUGCUCCUCUGGCGUUAGCGGCGGACGGGUGAGUAACACGUGGAUAACCUACCUAUAAGACUGGGAUAACUUCGGGAAACCGGAGCUAAUACCGGAUAAUAUAUUGAACCGCAUGGUUCAAUAGUGAAAGACGGUUUUGCUGUCACUUAUAGAUGGAUCCGCGCCGCAUUAGCUAGUUGGUAAGGUAACGGCUUACCAAGGCAACGAUGCGUAGCCGACCUGAGAGGGUGAUCGGCCACACUGGAACUGAGACACGGUCCAGACUCCUACGGGAGGCAGCAGUAGGGAAUCUUCCGCAAUGGGCGAAAGCCUGACGGAGCAACGCCGCGUGAGUGAUGAAGGUCUUCGGAUCGUAAAACUCUGUUAUUAGGGAAGAACAAAUGUGUAAGUAACUAUGCAGGUCUUGACGGUACCUAAUCAGAAAGCCACGGCUAACUACGUG
rnacentral:rRNA from 1 species